ACACAUGCAAGUUCGAGCGGAUGAAAGGAGCUUGCUCCUGGAUUCAGCGGCGGACGGGUGAGUAAUGCCUAGGAAUCUGCCUGGUAGUGGGGGACAACGUUUCGAAAGGAACGCUAAUACCGCAUACGUCCUACGGGAGAAAGCAGGGGACCUUCGGGCCUUGCGCUAUCAGAUGAGCCUAGGUCGGAUUAGCUAGUUGGUGAGGUAAUGGCUCACCAAGGCGACGAUCCGUAACUGGUCUGAGAGGAUGAUCAGUCACACUGGAACUGAGACACGGUCCAGACUCCUACGGGAGGCAGCAGUGGGGAAUAUUGGACAAUGGGCGAAAGCCUGAUCCAGCCAUGCCGCGUGUGUGAAGAAGGUCUUCGGAUUGUAAAGCACUUUAAGUUGGGAGGAAGGGUUGUAGAUUAAUACUCUGCAAUUUUGACGUUACCGACAGAAUAAGCACCGGCUAACUCUGUGCCAGCAGCCGCGGUAAUACAGAGGGUGCAAGCGUUAAUCGGAAUUACUGGGCGUAAAGCGCGCGUAGGUGGUUCGUUAAGUUGGAUGUGAAAUCCCCGGGCUCAACCUGGGAACUGCAUCCAAAACUGGCGAGCUAGAGUAUGGUAGAGGGUGGUGGAAUUUCCUGUGUGUA
rnacentral:rRNA from 1 species